UACAGAGGUGGCAAGCGUUGUUCGGAAUUACUGGGCGUAAAGGGCGCGUAGGCGCCUCUUUAGUCAGACGUGAAAUCCCCCGGCUUAACCUGGGAACUGCGUCUGAUACUGGGAGGCUAGAGUUCGGGAGAGGGAUGUAGAAUUCCAGGUGUAGCGGUGAAAUGCGUAGAUAUCUGGAGGAAUACCGGUGGCGAAGGCGGCAUCCUGGGACCGAAACUGACGCUGAGCGCGAAAGCUAGGGGAGCAAACGGG
rnacentral:rRNA from 1 species